GAACCCCACCCGACUAUUCACGCGCGCGGCAGGAGCGGGGGAACCAGGUAAGCCGCCGUUCCGGGCCUCGUCUCCGGGACGGCUAGGGGUGAAGCAGCGCUUCGGCCGUCGUCACCGACGCCGAUGCGCGGCCGGACAUCUCCAGUCCGAACCCGACAGCUCACCUCGCAGGCGUCGGAGAGGAAUU
rnacentral:sRNA from 2 species